UGGCUCAGAUUGAACGCUGGCGGCAUGCCUUACACAUGCAAGUCGAACGGCAGCACGGGUGCUUGCACCUGGUGGCGAGUGGCGAACGGGUGAGUAAUAUAUCGGAACGUGCCCUAGAGUGGGGGAUAACGUAGCGAAAGUUACGCUAAUACCGCAUACGAUCUAUGGAUGAAAGUGGGGGAUCGCAAGACCUCAUGCUCGUGGAGCGGCCGAUAUCUGAUUAGCUAGUUGGUGGGGUAAAAGCCUACCAAGGCAACGAUCAGUAGCUGGUCUGAGAGGACGACCAGCCACACUGGGACUGAGACACGGCCCAGACUCCUACGGGAGGCAGCAGUGGGGAAUUUUGGACAAUGGGGGCAACCCUGAUCCAGCAAUGCCGCGUGUGUGAAGAAGGCCUUCGGGUUGUAAAGCACUUUUGUCAGGAACGAAACGGUGGGGGUUAAUACCUCCUGCUAAUGACGGUA
rnacentral:rRNA from 1 species